rnacentral:rRNA from 1 species
UACGGAGGGUGCAAGCGUUAUCCGGAUUCACUGGGUUUAAAGGGUGCGUAGGUGGGCAGUUAAGUCAGUGGUGAAAUCUCCGGGCUCAACCCGGAAACUGCCAUUGAUACUAUCUGUUUUGAAUAUCGUGGAGGUAAGCGGAAUAUGUCAUGUAGCGGUGAAAUGCUUAGAUAUGACAUAGAACACCAAUUGCGAAGGCAGCUUACUACCCGAAUAUUGACACUGAGGCACGAAAGCGUGGGGAUCAAACAGG